rnacentral:rRNA from 1 species
GAUGAACGCUGGCGGCGUGCCUAAUACAUGCAAGUCGAGCGAACAGACGAGGAGCUUGCUCCUCUGACGUUAGCGGCGGACGGGUGAGUAACACGUGGAUAACCUACCUAUAAGACUGGGAUAACUUCGGGAAACCGGAGCUAAUACCGGAUAAUAUCUUGAACCGCAUGGUUCAAUAGUGAAAGACGGUUUUGCUGUCACUUAUAGAUGGAUCCGCGCCGCAUUAGCUAGUUGGUAAGGUAACGGCUUACCAAGGCAACGAUGCGUAGCCGACCUGAGAGGGUGAUCGGCCACACUGGAACUGAGACACGGUCCAGACUCCUACGGGAGGCAGCAGUAGGGAAUCUUCCGCAAUGGGCGAAAGCCUGACGGAGCAACGCCGCGUGAGUGAUGAAGGUCUUCGGAUCGUAAAACUCUGUUAUUAGGGAAGAACAGAUGUGUAAGUAACUGUGCACGUCUUGACGGUACCUAAUCAGAAAGCCACGGCUAACUACGUG